AUAAGAGGUCCCGCCUGCCCUGUGACUAUUAGUUUAACGGCCGCGGUAUUUUGACCGUGCGAAGGUAGCGCAAUCACUUGUCUUUUAAAUGGAGACCCGUAUGAAUGGCAUAACGAGGGCUUAACUGUCUCCUCUUUCAAGUCAAUGAAAUUGAUCUCCCCGUGCAGAAGCGGGGAUAUAAACAUAAGACGAGAAGACCCUAUGGAGCUUUAGACACUAAGGCAGCCCACGUUAAGCACCCUGAAUAAAGGACUAAACCAAGUAGGCCCUGCCCUAAUGUCUUUGGUUGGGGCGACCGCGGGGAAUUAAAGAACCCCCACGUGGAACGGGAACACUUUUCCUACAACUAAGAGCUACAGCUCUAGUAAACAGAACUUCUGACCAGCAAGAUCCGGCAAUGCCGAUCAACGGACCGAGUUACCCUAGGGAUAACAGCGCAAUCCUCUUUUAGAGCCCAUAUCGACAAGGGGGUUUACGACCUCGAUGUUGGAUCAGGACAUCCUAAUGGUGCAGCCGCUAUUAAGGGUUCGUUUGUUCAACGAUUAAAGUCC
rnacentral:rRNA from 1 species